UGUAGUCUCAACGAUGAUGCAUACAUGUCCACUAUGGGUGUUGGGUCCAACAAUUCGCAUUGGUCUCAAACCAAUGACAUCCAUUUCCAAGACCAUGAGUUUGAGGUGGACGAGGAGGGUGAGGGAAUUGUCGAGGCGCCGAAAGGAAGAGCGGGCAAUUACUCAACCAACGAUGACAAGUUACUAUGCCAUACUUAUUUGCAAGUGUCGAGGGAUCCAUCCAUUGGAGGUGAUCAAAGUAGAGACGCGUAUUGGGGGCGAAUGAAAGAACACUAUGAUGCUCACAACUUGAGUGGAAUUGACCGCUCCGAGAGAUCACUUCGGUCCCAAUGGUCGACAAUCAACGCGGAUUGUCAAAACUGGGCGGCCGUACAAAAGGCAGUUGACAAGAUUAACCCAAGUGGCACAAAUGAGGAUGAUCGAGUAAGUGGCAUCUCAUAUAUGAUCAUCAUACUUGUUUUUGGUGACCGAAGUGCUAACUUGUUUUGUUUUUCUUGUAGAACAACAUUGCACAAAACUUGUUCAAAGAAGAGACAAGGACAACCAAGAAGGGGAAGAUCAAGAAAGGCAGGGUCUUUACCUUGCCUCAUUGCUAUGAAGUGUUAA
rnacentral:rRNA from 1 species